AUCCCUAAUCUCUCCUAUCCCUAACACAAAAUCGAUUUUCAAACCCAUGAACAUAGAUUUUGAUGAAAUCGAUUCCAACCCAAUUCGAUUUCUUCGGUUUCAACAGAUUUUGAGAUAAAAGAGAUUUCGAUUUCUAUCUUAUCCCUAAACCCAAUUCGAUUUUCUCGCCAUCCCUAAUCUCUCCUAUCCGUAAAACCGAUUUGGAUGAAAAGAGAUUUCGAUUUCUGUUGACUCUGUUUGUAGUUCGAGAAUUUGCUACUAUCAGUAUACGGAUUUUGAGGGUUUAUUUGGACUGAUGUCCUCCUGAUCAACGAAGUGUUAUCAUAGGCUGCUCUUCAAGAUUUUUCUUUCGAGUUGCUUUGGCAAGUUUGUGAAGAUUCAGUUUGAUCAGAAGGGAAGGAUUUCAGGGGCUGCUAUUAGAACGUACUUAUUGGAAAGAUCUUGUGUACAUCUCGAAAGGAAUUAUCAUUGCUUCUACAUGCUUUCUGUUGUACCACCAGAGGAUUCUGCAUGUAUUAUACCAGACAUAAGACGAUUAUCGAAGACCUUAUCAAUGAGUUGAUCAAGAAGGUAUCCCAGAUAUGUCGCAGUCCCUGAAGUGCCUACACUGAAGAAAGGAGGAAGAAGAAAAAGACCUUUAAGCCUAAUAAUGGACCAUCCCUGAGGAAUGAACAUGAAACAAAGUUCUCCUUAGUUGAAGUCAUGAAGGCUUCGAAGAAGCCAGACAUCUCUAUGCUGAAUCUCUCAGUGCCAGCGAAGGGUCCCUAUAUACCCAAUACUGUGCAUAUGAAG